rnacentral:rRNA from 1 species
UACGAAGGGGGGCUAGCGUUGUUCGGAAUUACUGGGCGUAAAGCGCGCGUAGGCGGCUCUUCAAGUCAGGCGUGAAAGCCCCGGGCUUAACCCGGGAAUAGCGCUUGAUACUGUUGGGCUUGAGUCCGGGAGAGGAUAGUGGAAUUCCCAGUGUAGAGGUGAAAUUCGUAGAUAUUGGGAAGAACACCAGUGGCGAAGGCGGCUAUCUGGGACCG